rnacentral:SRP_RNA from 1 species
CGGAAGGCCGGUGGCGGACAGGCGCCUUGCCAACCCGGUCAGGUCCGGAAGGAAGCAGCCGCAGCGAGUUUCCGCCUGGGUCGAUCCGCUGGUCUUCCACCUA